AACGCACAUUGCGCCCCUUGGUAUUCCAUGGGGCAUGCCUGUUCGAGCGUCAUUUGUACCUUCAAGCUCUGCUUGGUGUUGGGUGUUUGUCUCGCCUCUGCGCGUAGACUCGCCUCAAAACGAUUGGCAGCCGGCGUAUUGAUUUCGGAGCGCAGUACAUCUCGCGCUCUGCACUCACAACGACGACGUCCAAAAGCACAUUUUUACACUCUUGACCUCGGAUCAGGUAGGGAUACCCGCUGAACUUAA
rnacentral:misc_RNA from 1 species